rnacentral:rRNA from 1 species
AGUCGAGGGGAAACGACAUCGAAAGCUUGCUUUUGAUGGGCGUCGACCGGCGCACGGGUGAGUAACGCGUAUCCAACCUGCCCAUCACUUGGGGAUAACCUUGCGAAAGUAAGACUAAUACCCAAUGACGUCUCUAGAAGACAUCUGAAAGAGAUUAAAGAUUUAUCGGUGAUGGAUGGGGAUGCGUCUGAUUAGCUUGUUAGCGGGGUAACGGCCCACCAAGGCGACGAUCAGUAGGGGUUCUGAGAGGAAGGUCCCCCACAUUGGAACUGAGACACGGCCCAAACUCCUACGGGAGGCAGCAGUGAGGAAUAUUGGUCAAUGGACGAGAGUCUGAACCAGCCAAGUAGCGUGCAGGAUGACGGCCCUAUGGGUUGUAAACUGCUUUUAUAAGGGAAUAAAGUUAGUCUCGUGAGACUUUUUGCAUGUACCUUAUGAAUAAGGACCGGCUAAUUCCGUGCCAGCAGCCGCGGUAAUACGGAAGGUCCGGGCGUUAUCCGGAUUUAUUGGGUUUAAAGGGAGCGUAGGCCGGAGAUUAAGCGUGUUGUGAAAUGUAGACGCUCAACGUCUGCACUGCAGCGCGAACUGGUUUCCUUGAGUACGCACAAAGUGGGCGGAAUUCGUGGUGUAGCGGUGAAAUGCUUAGAUAUCACGAAGAACUCCGAUUGCGAAGGCAGCUCACUGGAGCGCAACUGACGCUGAAGCUCGAAAGUGCGGGUAUCGAACAGGAUUAGAUACCCUGG